ACCGGUGAAGUGACAGAAUUGAACUGAAUUGAACAAUUUUCCGUCGUUAGCUUCAUUAAUAUUCAUAUCCAAAGAGCGGGAUUUGUAAAAUGUUUUCAUUGGUCAAUGCAAAUGUCACAUUUAUAAAUAACAACAACAACAACAAGCCAGCAUCUGAAUUGUUAGGGAAUUGUCAAACAUCUAGUCAGAAGUUUCUUAAUUAUUACACAUGAGGAAGUGAGAAGUUUUUUUUAUUCUAAAACUAUCACACAUGAGGAAGUAAAAGAAUGUGUUGUGUACAAUGCAAGGUCCUACAUAUGUGACGGCAACUUCUUUCAAGAAUGGUGGGGGAAAUGAUAUACAGCAAAUUUAAAGGAGGUUUACCAGCAGGUCAUUUGUACUGUGGGAACUGUGGAGGUAAAAGUGAAGCAGACUUUGCCCUCAUUAUGAAUAUCAACCUUUUCCCAAGUGACACUGAAUGAAAUUCAAGAGGAUUGCAAUUGUACACAUUUGAUCAGGUGACUAAGGAAAGGGGACACUGUCUCUUGAAAAUCAGAUCUACAAUUUACUUGUCCAGAGUUAUUGGGGACCUGAUUCAGGGGCCAGGAUGGAUGUUAAUAUCAUCCAAGAAUUUCGAGACAUGUGCAACUUGAUGAAGACUUUACAAAACAAAAAUUGCUUAAUUAACACAUACUUUAACUUACAACCUCCUGUCAGACAUUUCUGCAAGGAAUCAAUUGUACCAUACACCAAAGGCUUAUAGUGAUUUUGACAUUUUUUAAGUUUAUGGUAUUUUUUAUGAAUCAUAACAAAUGGAUUCAGAAUCUCCUUGUUAGAGAUUAUGUUGAUUAUUCAGUUUGAAUGAGGGGACACAUUCAGAACACCUUGCCAAUAACAGUAUACCGAUAAUCCUCUUGCAAAAAGUUCUGUUAUGUCUUUUUAUAAAGUAACAAAUGAAGAGGGCAAGGAGUAAUAAACAUAUUUAUUAGAAUUCCUACAUAUAGGAAAUUUAAGUGUAUUUCAGUGACUAGUAUAAUAAUAAUUUCAAAGACGUCUCAGAAUAUAAAUAAACAAUUACAAUGUAAAUCCCCCCCACCAGCAUACAAUUACAAUAAAAGGACUAGAAAUAACAUAAAAAUCAUGUAUUUGCAUUCUUGCUUUGUAAGAACAUAGUAGUGUAAUCAUCAAUCAAGAAAUGUACAUUUUACUUUCAUAACUUAAAAUAUUUUUAUUUAAAUGGACUUUUUCCUAACAUUUAUUUUCUUGUCAUGUUAUUUGAUAAACAUGUAUAAUAAUGUACAGAUAUUUUUUGUGUUUGAAUGAAACUUUAUAUAUAUUUGUUCUUGUUGUACCAAUUACUUAUUAUAUUUUGUAAACACAUAUGGAGAGUGCAAUUUUCUUUACAUAUUAAAUUUGUUUUAGUA